UUCAUUUCCAGUCUGUCGUCAGACCAGGACAGGCUUCUGGGGUUAGUGUUGGAACGACCACUGCUAAACUGACGUCAAGACUUUCCCCCACAACCCACCAAGAAACAAGUUGUCUCUCCUCCCCUCCAUUCAUCUUCCAACCUACCACUCCACAGACAAAGGGGACAGGUUAGGAGUUGUCCUGCAGUUCUUUGGCCUUGGUCAGGAUCGUGUGGACAUCGGUGAUGGGAUAGUCCUGAAAGAAAGACACGACGAUAAUGGUGAGUCUGUAGCUGUUGUUGGACUCGUCUUCAACAAGGACAAGUUGUUUUACAUGCUAGAUAUGACAUUUGCUGGCUUAAAUUUUGGGGGGACAAUAAUUGAAAUUUUAAAUUUUUUAAAAUAUUAUCGUAUUGCAUUUUUUCACAAACUUACCUGUAAAUGAUGUCAAUUUUCAGUCUAUGUUUGACAUGACAAGGUUUGAUUUUUUUUUUUUUUUAAUGAUUAUGUUGGUGGUCAUUUGGGGGUAAAGGAUGCAUUUUGUGACUAAAAAAAGGGGAUCUUAACAUAUUUUUCCUUAAAUGUCAGUAUAGCACAA